rnacentral:tRNA from 1 species
GGUGGGUUGGCUAAGUGGUUAGAGCGUAGGUCUCGUAACCAAAAGGUUGCGGGUUCGAAUCGGUUUUUUUCA